rnacentral:rRNA from 1 species
CAGCAGCCACGGGAAUACAGAGGGUGCAAGCGUUAAUCGGAAUUACUGGGCGUAAAGCGCGCGUAGGUGGUUUGUUAAGUUGGAUGUGAAAUCCCCGGGCUCAACCUGGGAACUGCAUCCAAAACUGGCAAGCUAGAGUAUGGUAGAGGGUGGUGGAAUUUCCUGUGUAGCGGUGAAAUGCGUAGAUAUAGGAAGGAACACCAGUGGCGAAGGCGACCACCUGGACUGAUACUGACACUGAGGUGCGAAAGCGUGGGGAGCAAACAGGAUUAGAUACCCCAGUAGUCCCUGUCCCUUAUAC